GACGAACGCUGGCGGCGCGCUUAACACAUGCAAGUCGAACGGAAAGGCCUGCUUUCCCUUGUGGAUUGCGGGUACUCGAGUGGCGAACGGGUGAGUAACACGUGAGUGAUCUGCCCCCAACUUGGGUAUAAGCCUGGGAAACUGGGUCUAAUCCCCGAUAGGACUGCAGGGUGGUGCCUGUGGUGGAAAACGAUUUUCUAGUGGUUGGGGAUGAGCUCGCGGCCUAUCAGCUUGUUGGUGGGGUAAUGGCCUACCAAGGCGGCGACGGGUAGCCGGCCUGAGAGGGUGGACGGCCACAUUGGGACUGGGAUACGGCCCAGACUCCUACGGGAGGCAGCAGUGGGGAAUAUUGCACAAUGGGCGGAAGCCUGAUGCAGCGACGCCGCGUGGGGGAUGACGGCCUUCGGGUUGUAAACUCCUUUCGACCGCGAGGAAGCCACCUGGUUGGAAGGGUGGUGACGGUAGUGGUAGAAGAAGCACCGGCUAACUACGUG
rnacentral:rRNA from 1 species